AAGUCUUCCAUUUAACUGGCGAAGUGCUAUCCCGAUUCGAUAAAAUCAGUUAAUUCCCAACUACCGCCGGAUAUCAAUUUUCUUUUUAACAAGCUCUCAAAAACAGAUUCCUGGAUGUUAACCAUUGACAAUU